AAGUCGUAACAAGGUUUCCGUAGGUGAACCUGCGGAAGGAUCAUUAACACUUUUUCAUUUUAUUGAAAAUUCAUUUUCAAUAAUUUACUUACCCACAUUUUUGGAUGAAUUAUCUCUUUUUUAUUCUUUUAAAAAUUUUAAACCCAAAUACCAUAUUAUUUCUAACAUUUAUACACAAAAAGUUUAAGAAAAACAUAAAAAACAACUCUUAACAACGGAUAUCUAGGCUCUC
rnacentral:misc_RNA from 1 species